rnacentral:rRNA from 1 species
UAGGGAAUCUUCGGCAAUGGACGAAAGUCUGACCGAGCAACGCCGCGUGAGUGAAGAAGGUUUUCGGAUCGUAAAACUCUGUUGUUAGAGAAGAACAAGGACGUUAGUAACUGAACGUCCCCUGACGGUAUCUAACCAGAAAGCCACGGCUAACUACGUGCCAGCAGCCGCGGUAAUACGUAGGUGGCAAGCGUUGUCCGGAUUUAUUGGGCGUAAAGCGAGCGCAGGCGGUUUCUUAAGUCGGAUGUGAAAGCCCCCGGCUCAACCGGGGAGGGUCAUUGGAAACUGGGAGACUGGAGUGCAGAAGAGGAGAGUGGAAUUCGAGGUGUAGCGGUGAAAUGCGUAGAUAUAAGGAGGAACACCAGUGGCGAAGGCGGCUCUCAGGUCUGUAACUGACGAUGAGGCUCGAAAGCGUGGGGAGCAAACAGG